rnacentral:rRNA from 1 species
ACUGAACGCUGGCGGCAGGCUUAACACAUGCAAGUCGAGCGGAGAUGAGGUGCUUGCACCUUAUCUUAGCGGCGGACGGGUGAGUAAUGCUUAGGAAUCUGCCUAUUAGUGGGGGACAACAUUCCGAAAGGAAUGCUAAUACCGCAUACGUCCUACGGGAGAAAGCAGGGGAUCUUCGGACCUUGCGCUAAUAGAUGAGCCUAAGUCGGAUUAGCUAGUUGGUGGGGUAAAGGCCUACCAAGGCGACGAUCUGUAGCGGGUCUGAGAGGAUGAUCCGCCACACUGGGACUGAGACACGGCCCAGACUCCUACGGGAGGAAGCAGUGGGGAAUAUUGGACAAUGGGGGGAACCCUGAUCCAGCCAUGCCGCGUGUGUGAAGAAGGCCUUAUGGUUGUAAAGCACUUUAAGCGAGGAGGAGGCUACUGAGACUAAUACUCUUGGAUAGUGGACGUUACUCGCAGAAUAAGCACCGGCUAACUCUGUACCAGCAGCCGCCGUAACAC